rnacentral:misc_RNA from 1 species
AACACUGUUAACCUGCGGUACCUGCGGAAGGAUCAUUACCGAGUUUACAACUCCCAAACCCCUGUGAACAUACCUAUACGUUGCCUCGGCGGAUCAGCCCGCGCCCCGUAAAACGGGACGGCCCGCCCGAGGACCCUAAACUCUGUUUUUAGUGGAACUUCUGAGUAAAACAAACAAAUAAAUCAAAACUUUCAACAAUGGAUCU